rnacentral:rRNA from 1 species
GAACGCUGGCGGCGUGCUUAACACAUGCAAGUCGAGCGGUAAGGCUCCUUCGGGAGUACACGAGCGGCGAACGGGUGAGUAACACGUGAGCAACCUACCCCUUUCAUCGGAAUAACCAGUGGAAACGCUGGCUAAUGCCGAAUACGACCACCGAAGGCAUCUUCUGGUGGUGGAAAGCUCCGGCGGAGAGGGAUGGGCUCGCGGCCUAUCAGCUAGUUGGUGAGGUAAUGGCUCACCAAGGCAACGACGGGUAGCCGGCCUGAGAGGGUGACCGGCCACACUGGGACUGAGACACGGCCCAGACUCCUACGGGAGGCAGCAGUGGGGAAUAUUGGACAAUGGGCGAAAGCCUGAUCCAGCAACGCCGCGUGAGGGAUGACGGCCUUCGGGUUGUAAACCUCUUUCAGUAGGGACGAAGCGAAAGUGACGGUACCUACAGAAGAAGGACCGGCCAACUACGUGCCAGCAGCCGCGGUAAUACGUAGGGUCCGAGCGUUGUCCGGAAUUAUUGGGCGUAAAGGGCUCGUAGGCGGUUUGUCGCGUCGGGAGUGAAAACUCAGGGCUCAACCCUGAGCGUGCUUCCGAUACGGGCAAACUAGAGGUAUGCAGGGGAGAAUGGAAUUCCUGGUGUAGCGGUGGAAUGCGCAGAUAUCAGGAGGAACACCGGUGGCGAAGGCGGUUCUCUGGGCAUUACCUGACGCUGAGGAGCGAAAGCAUGGGGAGCGAACAGGAUUAGAUACCCUGGUAGUCCAUGCCGUAAA